rnacentral:lncRNA from 1 species
UACAGUAAAAGCUGGGGAGGUGUGUAGGGCUCCAGUCUUUGGGUUCACAGCUUGGCUCUACAUUCAUUGCUGGAGGAAUCCAAGCCUCACAAAAGACCGCUUUUAAAGAAAAACUCUAUUUUUCUUAGAAGAACUAGAUUAAACUAAGAUCCUUUGCCAAUAAAAAGACAAACAAUAGAAAAUUCCUACAGAUUAAGAAUACCAACCAAGAUUUCAGUGAACUUACUUGCUUCAGCUCUGGGAGAACAGUUAUGACAUGGUGCUGAAUUACAUCAGUGAGGAACUAGAGCUUUAACCAAACUUGAGUAAGAACUCCCUGACUUGGAAACACUCAAGUUUCCCACACAUGACUGGAUGGCCCUGGCCACACUGGGAACGGAAUGGGGGCCUCCCAUUGGAACUCAGGGUGGAGGGGGAAGCUCGACCAGCUAUUGUGGCCCCCACUUCCAUUGACAAAGAGAAGAGACUUGUACACAGAGAGGCUGGGCAACUUGUACAUGGUUGCACAGAUGUCCAGAGGCAGUGCUGAGAUGUGAACACAGGAAGACUGGAUUCAGCAUCUGUGCUACUAACCAGGACACUAUGAAGUCUCUCAUACCUGUGGUACUAGGAAAAUCAGAGAAAAUUUCAAGGAGGGUGGGGCAUUAGAAGCUGACUAUGGAGGAACCGGUAGGAGUUGGAUGUUUGGAAAUAGAGGGCAGGGCAUUGCAGGUAGAGAAUGGGAGUGUAUUCUGGAUGCCAACACAUCUGUGGCGGUCCUAAGAUCAGGAAUAGAUGGUCUGUAUCUUCAGUAUGACUUAAUGUUUCUGAGUGUAAGACUUAAUCUCCAUUUGAAAAAGGAUAAAAAGAAGGAAAAAAAAUAAAAGCUAUUACGUUUCUG